AUUGAACGCUGGCGGCAGGCCUAAUACAUGCAAGUCGAACGAGCGGCGGACGGGUGCGCAAUGUCUGGGAAACUGCCUUAAGGCGGUGGAUAACUACUGGAAACGGUAGCUAAUACCGCAUACCAUCGGAUGUGCCCAGAUGGGAUUAGCUAGUAGGGGGGGUAAAGGCCCACCUAGGCGACGAUCCCUAGCUGGUCUGAGAGGAUUACCAGCCACACGGGAACUGAGACACGGUCCAGACGCCUACGGGAGGCAGCAGUGGGGAAUAUUGCACAAUGGGCGCAAGCCGGAUGCAGCCAUGCCGCGUGUAUGAAGAAGGCCUUCGGGUUGUAAAGUACUUUCAGCGGUGAGGCGUUACCCGCAGAAGAAGCACCGGCUAACUCCGUGCCAGCAGCCGCGGUAAUAC
rnacentral:rRNA from 1 species